UGCCUUUUAUCAUAGUUUGGAAAUGGGAAAUAUAUGUUUUGACUUUUUCUUGUUGGAAUUUGGUCUUUAAAAAAUGUAUUGUACACUGUCUACUCAUGUACAGAUUAAUGCAGAGUUUCUGCGGGUUACUGCAGUUCCCUUGCUAACCAGAUUCAUGGCCCAGCUGGACAAGCACUCCCCACAGCUACUUAAAAUAAUCAGAAAGAAAGGAGGGACAACCAAAGCAAAAACUGCCAUAAUCCUAGAGUUUCUUGAUCAGGAUGCUGGUGCUGACAUUAGGAGGGAGUGUAUACUUAAAUCUCUCAUUAUCUACCUUGGAGAACGUGUUGAGGACUUGAUAAAAGAAUACAUGGUAUGUCCAUAUCUGUUCUGUCUCUACAUGAGAUGCAGUCUCUUGAUGUAAAUUUGACAACUCUGCUAUUAAAUGCAGUGAUUAAUGUAGAACAGCAACGAUUAAUCAACUCAUCAAGUUAAUAUCUUAGGGUUCUGUAUUGUUUUCUUUUUUUUCUUGGGCUUUGUGGAACAUUUAUGAAAAUGUUCCACCAUUGAUUUAAUUUAAUGAUUAUGCAAUUCACAAUCUGAUUAGUCAAAUAAUUGUUCUAAUAGUCUGUGACCAAACAACUAUCAAAAUAGUAGUUUAUUAUGGUUUAUCAGGUGUGCCAGACUUCAGUUCUUCACUUGUACAUUUUGUUCCAUAUUUUACCUCAAGAUAUCCCAGAAAGAUGAAGCUGAGGAAGAGCUGCAGAGUACCACAAUGGCACUCUUCGUCUUCAGGGACAACUCAAGCCUCCUACAUCAGCCUCGAGACAUCGGGAUAAUCAUUGAUGGUGUGGAAGUCCUGAAUGAGUUGCCUUCUGUGGCAGCUGGAGUGGCAAUGGUCUUUGGACUCUGUUAUGCUCUUAAUAUGGAAUAUCCACGAGGAUUCAGGUUCACCUUUGAGGCUCUUCAAAAGAUUAUGAUGGAGCUUGACUUUAACAAGAUGACCUCUAAGAUUCGCAAACUUAAUUGUGAACUUAACACUGCACAGUAGUGUGUUUGCAUGCAUGUGUGCAUGCAUGUGUAUGUGCACAUGCAUGUGCAUGUGUGCUUGGUUAUUUUGCUUGGUUGGCCUGCAGUGGUAUUCUACAUUCAAAAGUUAUAAGAACACCCAUUUGAAAGGGAGAUUUAAGUUGAUUUCAUUGAUACAUGUGUACAUUUUUUUUUACAUUGUACAGGCACAGUGCACAUAUAAACAUUUUUGAGUACUUGCAAAUUGGUUUAAAAAGAGUUUUGGUUUUAUGCCAGUUUUAGACAGGUUGCAGGUUUUAUACCAGUUCUAAAAAGAUUGCAGGUUUUAUACUGGUUUUCAAAAGGUUGCAGGUUUUAUAAAACAAACAUUUCUCUAAUCAUUUCUGCCGUAGCACUAAAUCUUUAUAUUACUAAUCCUCUCUAUUGAUUAUAGUUAAAAUGGUUUGGAACAAUAAAUAAUUUUGAAAUAAUUGGUUGGCCAACUGUCUUGUUUUUUAUAGGAAAUGCAGAGCAUUUUUGAACUGAAAUAAAAUGAAAUGUAAAAAAUAUAGUUUGAAUAUAUGUAAAUCAAUUACCUGGCUUCAAGACAAACAUAUUAGUUCAUGUUAAUUUGGUUCGAUGUGAAUACAUUAGGUUGGUUAAAUUUCAAUAUAUUAGCUUGGUUCAAUAAUUAAAAUAUGGUUCUAUGUAAAAAAAUCAAUUUGGAUCAAUGCAAAAUUUAAAGUUUCAGUCAAGUCUAGUAAUAUUGUUUAUAUCAACAUAAAAGUAUCAGGUCAUAUCAAGUGACUCAAUUUGGAUUCUAUGAAGUCAAAUAUUUUGGAUGUGACCAUUGGACAUCAAUUUUUUUAAUUUCAAUAGGGUUUUUCUUUUUACAGUGUAUCACAAAGUGAACAAGAUGAGUUGUAGUUUUGAUUGUUUUACAAAAAGCUCAGCAGGCUUUAUUGUACCAUUAUAUAAAAUAAAUUAUGCCCUGCAGAAAACCAGAACAUAAGAGAAAGACUCUUUUCUGAAAUCAGGAACCUCAGAUGAGAACUACAGCAGAACCGUGCUCUGAUUGUAGAGACUCACAAGCAUUUUGUCAUUAUCUGUUAAAAUAAAGCUGCUCUGAUGUGCAUGAAGGAAUAAUCUAGAUAGAUCAGGGGGAUGUUCCUCUUUUGUAGGAAAAAUUAUCAUAUUUAUUUUCUUUACCUGCUCCAAGUUUUCCAUUGUUUCACUCGUUGGCGAUAAUCUAGAAGUUCUCCUUUUUCUGCUUAAUGAAAUAAGUUAUUAUAAAAGUGAACAGAUGCUGUCAGGUUAGUUUGUGAAUGACAGUUUGAAAGAGAAACAGUGAUGUUCACCUGAUCCACCAGCAGACAGUGAGAAGUAUUAAAAGCAGCAGAGCUGCAGAAACUCCUGCAGCUGCUGGUGUCCAUGUUCCUGUGAUACUUUGGACAGUGAGAGUCUUUGGAGCAGAGCUGAUAUCUUUGUUGGUUUUCACAGCACAGGAGUAGCUUCCUGCAUCCUCCCUGCUGACUGGGUCUAGGAUCAGAUGUUUGUUCUGGUUCUCUCUCGGGGUCAGAGGUCGACUGUUCAAGUACCAAAUGUAGUUUGUGUUGUCAGUCAGAGGACAGCUGGUACUGCAGGUCAGUGUGACUCUCUGACUCUCUGUCACCACUGCAGAAGGACUCAUCUUCACUCUCAGCUCUGAAAAACACUUAAACUUGUCAGUAACUGUAAGAGA
ensembl:lncRNA